GUCAGGACUCGGGCACACGGGAAGGCGCCCAGCGGAGCUGCGCGGUGUGAAGAGAGGAAGGGUUCCCAGCCCCCAGAGCCGACUGCCCUGACCACAGUUGUAACAGGAGCCACAGCUGCUUUGUUUCCCUCUGGGGCUUCCCUAGGAAUUCCCAAAAGUGAGCCAAGAAUGUUGGACAAAGGUCAUCGGGAACCAGCUGUGGCCCAGGCAAAGCCCUGCAGAGGGAACAGCAGAGCCCCUGGGAGAGGAGUGGCACACUGGAGCCCCAGAGCCCUGCUUGCUGACCUGCUCAGCCAGAUAGCCUCCCCCUUCUCAGCUGGUGGCCAUGAAUGCACAGACGGACAGACAGCCUCUGGACAGGCAGCCUCGGGAGCGGGAAGAGUCAGAGAGCGAGCCUACUCCUUGGGCCAGUGACUCAGACUGGGAGGAAUGGAAGCGGCUGCCCAGGAGGGUGGGGGCCUGGGCAGGCCACCCCGCCAAGCCAAGCCACCGGAGCCACAGCCUGCGGAGUGGAAAGAAUAACAGAGGGCAGGCAGCCUCCGAGGCAGCUGUCCGCACAGCACAGGGGUGACGCCAAGGUGUGUACUUUAAACUCAAGUAAGGGGGAGGACAAGAGAGGACGUCAUCUUCCCAGAUGCCUGGCAUUUCCACUGGGCCUGGACUUCACCUUGGCGGCCUCCUGAGCCAAUCCCGUCUCAGCCCCUCUGGUUGGGAGGGGCCAGCCCAGACCCCCCAGCCUGGGCAUGCUUCUGGGCAGCAACUAUGGGAACAGAGGGUCUGUCCCCCAGUUGACUCUAGCUCUAAUUCUGUCCCCAGGACAAAAGCACAUGGUGGGGGAGGGAGAGCAGCCCUUAGCAGAUACCUAAGCCACAGAAUCUGAAGGUUUAGGUUUGCCGAGACACUCAUCCUUCUUCCAGCCAUAGCAAAACCCCCUCAGAAAGCUGAGGCCCGAGGGGGGAAGGGUUCUCCCAAUGUCACAGUCCAGACCAUGACUGGCCACACUCACCAACGGCAGGGAACCCCAUCUCCCACCACUCCAAACCCCACGAGCCACCCUCUUACCAAUCCCGGGAGCUCUGAAUUUAUCUAAGAGCCCUAAGGGGCCGCUUCUUUAUGGCCAAGUUUAUUCUAAGGAAAAGGCCAGCUGUUCUGGUUACUAUAUUCCUGCUCUCAGCAUUUCUCUUCCCCUAGAGGCACGCUCUUAACCCCGGUCUUUCAGCCUGGGCCAUCCUGAACAGAGACAAUGGCUGGCACAGGGGGCUCAGGGCCAGAGCAGACCCCAGCCAAGCCUCCCCUCCCUGUCAAGGCCAGAAUUGUCUCCCAAGGCUGGAAAGUGAGCAGACACCCCAGCAUCAUAGCCUUGGACCCCUCCCUGCCCUGGGAGGACAGAGAAAGGAGGGAAACGGGAGAGGGUGAACCCUACACCCAGCCAGCCCACCCGCCCACUGCCUGGCACAGGGCAAUUGGAGGGAGGCACCCACUCCCAGGCGCCCUGGCGGCUGGCUGGCCAUGGGCUCCCUCCCCCGUUGACCUUCAGAGAGAUCCGCUCCUGCCACCCGCGCCCUCGGCGGCCCCUGCACCCACCGGCUACUGCUACAGUAACUUUUGAGUGAAGGACUUCUGGGGCUGGCAGAACAAAGGCUGUGUGCCUCUGCCAAGGGGCUGGGGCAGAGCUCUCAGUAGCAGGGCUGCCUGGCCGCGCCACCCACCCUCCUAUCCAGUACAGGUGGGAACUUCUGCCCCGAGCUGAGCCUGGGGAGACUUUGCAGCCAGAGGUUGUGCACUGGUCCAAAGGCCAUCUAGAGCAGGUCUGGGCUGGCUUCCCUAAAGACCCCCAAACCCUCCUGGCUCUGCCCUCCUGCUGAAGCACUUCCUGGACUCUCUACCCCAACACAGACUGCAGGGUGCACAGGGUCUCUGAGAGGGGUGCAGUGAUCCUGAGCCUGACCUCCACUCCUACCCAAGACAGGGCCCAAAGGCCAGGUCAUUGAGGGAUGGUGUGCGGGGAGGCAGGGCUUCUUAAUCCUUACCUCCAAAGCCUGGGGAGCUGCUCCCCCACCUCAGCCUUGGGUACAGAAGUCCCCGUAGCCAGGAGUCUGAGAUGAAGGGAAAGCCAUGCCUGCCAUCUCCAGGACACCAGAAAUCCAGGAUUAAGUGCAUUCUCUGGGAUGCUCUCCAAGUUUGGGGAGGGCUACUACUGUCUGAGGCGCCCUGAAACUGCUGACCCUCUGGUGCCAAAAGGCUCGGCCCUAUCUCCGAAGGAAAAGAGGAAAUGCCUGAUUCUGGUGUGUGGGGCUGUGCACUGGAGCUUCUGUAAUUACCCCCAACUCCUCCUCUGUGUGUCUGACAACUCUCCCCCCAAUCUCCCCUACCACACUCCAUCCACCCUUCCAGGGUAAUUACCCCAGCCUCUGCACACAAAGAAGGAUGACAUCCCUCCCCCAUUAUCAGAGACACCCCAGACCCCUGGGGGAAGGGAAGUUACAAAAGAGAAGGGACAGAGUCUGAGGUAGUGGCUAUAGGGACACAGGCCUGGCUCUCCAAGAGAGGAUUUUGUUAGACUGGGCAAGACUUUCAGGACUUUCUCCCUAACAACCCCGCCCAUCUUGGCCCUAGACCACCAGGACAGCAGGGCAAACACCUGGAGUGCAGCGAUGGCUAUAAGGAGCCCCUUCCCAGCACAUCUGGUCGGACCUCCCAGAGAAGGGGUGGGCCACCAGCCCCAAUGGAAACAGUGACGCUCCUAGUUCCCCGCCAGCCAGCCGGGCCCCAGCACACCUGGGCUGUACUUCCUGUGAGGACAUCCUAACCAGGCCUGGGCCCGGCCCAGCGGCCUGCUCACCAGCCAGGUCCCUGACUACAGAGUGGACUGGAUAAGGCAUCGUGCGUGGCACACCCCCGACCUUGCCCAGGCUCGGUCCACUAGGCACUGGGGUCCUGCAGACUAGCCAUUUUCUCCAGGACCAACAAUAUGCCCCUGAAUAUUCAUUCUCUUCUUGUCCCUCCAGCUAGAUCCUACUUCUUGAGGCAAAGACCGAGAUUCCCACUUCUGUGUCUACCUAGUCCAAAGCCUUCAAUUUGGCUCAGCAAACCUAAGUUUAUGGAAAAUUGAAUUAGAGAGAUUGUGGGGGGGAGGGGGGAGGGGAGAGACCCUUUCGCCCACCCAUUUACCAUAGGACCCAUCCAUAUAAAUGGCACAUAGCAAGCAUCAACUAGUACACACACUGGGAGCACCCUGCCCUGGGUUCUCAAGCCUCUGUCAGGAUGAACUGCUUUCUGGCCACCUCCUAUCCCCAAGGAACUAGAGAAUAGGGUACCCCAAAGAGGGAGACCAUCGAUGUGGCUCUCAGUGUCAGGCCCCACCCCUGCUCCAUCCCUAUCCUUCCCUCCCCCUUCCUUCCCUGUGCAUUCCUCUGGCAGCAUUCAUUAUGCCUUCUCCUUCCCUCCUCCCAAAUGGACAAUGUGGGCCAAACCUGGGGGCUUUCCAGGGGGGCCCUCCCCACCUGGAGGCCCACAGCCAAGUUGGGCACCGGGUGGGUGGAACCACAAGGCAACAGCAAGCCCUCUGCACCCCCAGGGUCUCACACUCUGGUCCUGAUCCAGCCUUCUCCUUCCUCCCCACCCCCAACCACCAGUUUCUGGCAAGCCCAGGUGGGCAGGACUAAGUAGGGCUCUGCUUGGUGGCCCAGAAACAACUCAUCUCACCGAUGCCUGUGUUGCAUGCCCUGUCCUGCCCUUUCUUGGCUUCCUGACCUGGUUCAAGUCCCUCAAACUCUCCAAGCCUCUGUGUCCCCUUCUGUGAGAAGGGGAUGAUAACUUUUCUUGUCAAAGCCUCUAUAAAAAUAAAAUGAGGAAGCAGACGUA